rnacentral:tRNA from 35 species
GGAAGAUGCCGCUAAAUGGUCAGCAACUUGUCUUGAAAACAAGGGUACAGGUAACACCUGUAAGGGUUCGAUUCCUUCAUCUUCCU